GACGAACCGGACAAACGUUAUUCGGAAUUACUGGGCUUAAAGGGUUUGUAGGCGGCCUUGUAAGUCAGGGGUGAAAUCCCGGGGCUCAACCUCGGAACUGCCUUUGAUACAGCAAGUCUUGAGUUCGAGAGAGGUGGGUGGAAUUCCUAGUGUAGAGGUGAAAUUCGUAGAUAUUAGGAAGAACACCGGUGGCGAAGGCGGCCCACUGGCUCGAUACUGACGCUGAGGUGCGAAAGCUAGGGUAGCAAACGGG
rnacentral:rRNA from 1 species